AACGAACGCUGGCGGCAGGCUUAACACAUGCAAGUCGAGCGCAUCCUUCGGGGUGAGCGGCGGACGGGUGAGUAACGCGUGGGAACGUGCCCUCUUCUACGGAAUAGCCUCGGGAAACUGAGAGUAAUGCCGUAUACGCCCGCAAGGGGAAAGAUUUAUCGGAGGAGGAUCGGCCCGCGUUGGAUUAGGUAGUUGGUGGGGUAACGGCCUACCAAGCCGACGAUCCAUAGCUGGUUUGAGAGGAUGAUCAGCCACACUGGGACUGAGACACGGCCCAGACUCCUACGGGAAGCAGCAGUGGGGAAUCUUGGAAAAUGGGGGCAACCCUGAUCCAGCCAUGCCGCGUGAUCGAUGAAGGCCUUAGGGUUGUAAAGAUCUUUCAGCUGGGAAGAUAAUGACGGUACCAGCAGAAGAAGCCCCGGCUAACUCCGUG
rnacentral:rRNA from 1 species